UAGUCCACGCCGUAAACGAUGGUCACUCGCUGUUGGCGAUAUAGUGUCAGUGGCUGAGCGAAAGCAUUAAGUGACCCACCUGGGGAGUACGUUCGCAAGAAUGAAACUCAAAGGAAUUGACGGGGGGCCCGCACAAGCGGUGGAGCAUGUGGUUUAAUUCGAUGAUACGCGAGGAACCUUACCAGGGCUUAAAUGUAGAAUGACAGAUCUGGAAACAGAUCCUUCUUCGGACAGACUACAAGGUGCUGCAUGGUUGUCGUCAGCUCGUGCUGUGAAGUGUCGGGUUAAGUCCCAUAACGAGCGCAACCCCUAUCUUCAGUUGCCAGCGGGUAAUGCCGGGGACUCUGGAGAAACUGCCACCGUAAGGUGAGAGGAAGGUGGGGGAUGGACGUCAAAUCAUCACGGCCCUUACGUCCUGGGGCUACACACGUGCUACAAUGGGUCGGUACAGAGGGGCAGCUACCACGCGAGUGGGAUGCGAAUCU
rnacentral:rRNA from 1 species